rnacentral:rRNA from 2 species
CAUUUGGCGCAUGCCGUGGUGGUGGAAAGCUUUUGCGGUUUUGGAUGGACUCGCGGCCUAUCAGCUUGUUGGUGGGGUAAUGGCCUACCAAGGCGACGACGGGUAGCCGGCCUGAGAGGGUGACCGGCCACACUGGGACUGAGACACGGCCCAGACUCCUACGGGAGGCAGCAGUGGGGAAUAUUGCACAAUGGGCGAAAGCCUGAUGCAGCGACGCCGCGUGAGGGAUGACGGCCUUCGGGUUGUAAACCUCUUUCAGUAGGGAAGAAGCGAAAGUGACGGUACCUGCAGAAGAAGCGCCGGCUAACUACGUGCCAGCAGCCGCGGUAAUACGUAGGGCGCAAGCGUUAUCCGGAAUUAUUGGGCGUAAAGAGCUCGUAGGCGGUUUGUCGCGUCUGCUGUGAAAGACCGGGGCUCAACUCCGGUUCUGCAGUGGGUACGGGCAGACUAGAGUGAUGUAGGGGAGACUGGAAUUCCUGGUGUAGCGGUGAAAUGCGCAGAUAUCAGGAGGAACACCGAUGGCGAAGGCAGGUCUCUGGGCAUUAACUGACGCUGAGGAGCGAAAGCAUGGGGAGCGAACAGGAUUAGAUACCCUGGUAGUCCAUGCCGUAAACGUUGGGCACUAGGUGUGGGGGACAUUCCACGUUUUCCGCGCCGUAGCUAACGCAUUAAGUGCCCCGCCUGGGGAGUACGGCCGCAAGGCUAAAACUCAAGAAA